UUUAGCUCAUCUGGGAGAGCGUCAGACUGAAGA
rnacentral:tRNA from 1 species